UACAGUUUAGUAUUGUAGAAAUAAAAAUCAACUAUUAUUUUUAAUUAAAUAUUGUACUUGACUACUUCCGGGGCAUGCCGUCGAUAAGUCGUUUGAGCUGAUCGAUUUUGACGAAUGGAAGGGGAAGUGACGUGAUCGCUGGCAUGCCGCCGGACAGGAGCUAAUUGGGUUGUAGCAUUGGCACAGUAAAGACCUCAAAUCCCUACGUAUAUAAUCCUAGUUGUAAAUUGUAAUAAAUGUAUUUUUGGAAUCAACAAAUAAAAGGUGUAAAGUAUCCCGAGUUUAUAUUUUACGAAAUAUCAGAAGUGCGAGUGAUCCACAUCUUCAGCCCACAGACAAAGUUGAGAACAAUGACGUCUGAAGAUGAAUCCGGUACACCACUGGGGACGCCCGUCAGCCGACGACGAAAUAAGCGAGAUAAGCGUAUGAAGUUAUCUUCGUCAUCCAAGUAAGGAAGCGUCACCACGUCCGUCUUCUAUGGAGCGAAGUUCCAAGAAAAAAAUGCAAGGGGCUCAUCUUCGAGCUCUACUGAAGAAGCAAGCAGGUUAGCAGCUUAGGUUCGAAAAUACUCUUUAUUGAAGUAUUUUGAAAUUAUUUUAUACGUUUAGUAGUUACGUAGUUAUU